ACAAAACACUCCAAGCCCUUCUCUCCUUUUUAGUGUGUAAUAAGUUCACGCCAUCCUCUUUUCUCCCGUGAGAUAUCUGGUGCAAACAAAGUGGGUGGGCGGCAUCAAAAGUUUAGAGUCCAAAGGAGUUUGGACUGUCACCUAAACUCCUACCUAAAACCAAUCUCUUAUCCUAUUUAAACCAUGCACUCCUUUGGACUCUCACCUAAACUCCUAGCUAAAACCAAUCUCUUGUCCUAUUUAAACCAUGCAUCAUGUGGGACAUUGGAUAGUUAAUGGUGAUCAAAUUUUGGAUGCCCAAACCAGAGGAGGCAUGCAUGAGAAUAUUGGAGAAAAAGAGAGGCAUCGCACCAUGAAGGGAGGCAGUGAGGUUUGGUUCCUAUCCUUUCUUUCUUACCAACAACCAACCUUUGGCUGUUGGGGGCCCCUUCUCUAUCUCUUUUGUCCUUAUUUGGACAUGGAUUUUUUUCUCCUCUUUGUCCAAAAAUUGGACAAAAUUCUUACAUCUCUAGCGUAAAGAUUUGGUGUAUGGAUUUUAUGAAGAAAAGAGAAGAAAGAGUUCUUCUCAUGAUCUCUAACGUAGAGAUCAUUAUCCUCCUAUUUCUUCUUCUUCUCUAAGAGUGUCUUGAGAGAAAAGAAAAUUUUUAACCAUCAAGAUGCAAUUUCUGUAAGGGAGCUAGCACUCUGAUGAGAUUAAUAAGCUUCUUAUCAGAUCGAAAUCUCGUAUGGAUAUCCAUAAAGAUAGGAUAUUUGUACGGCAUCAAGGGACCUUCAAAAGAUAUCCAUGUUCAUCAGUUCGCAGUAAAGAUUGAUCCAUGCCAAGGUAUGAAGCGUCUUUAUUUUUCUCUAUUUGAUUUCUAUAUCUGAAUUCUAUCUCACAUAUAUUGAUCAUGUUUAUGGUUUUAAGAUUUGAUCUUAUGCAUGCUUAGAUUAAAUUAGAUUUAAUCUAAAAUUUUUUAAAUUCUGCUGCAUAUUUGUUUUGAAAAUUUUUGCAUGCAUAAAAUCAUGAAACUCUAACAGUGGUAUCAAAGCCACGUCAUAUAUAUAAGAUUAAGAUUUAGAUCUGAAAUAUGUAGAGAAAA
rnacentral:lncRNA from 1 species